AGCUGGUAGUGCAGGCCUUAGCUGAACUAGGGUGGUCAUUUCCAGAAACAUUGAGUACUUGAACUAAAAGAGUAGGGAAGCCCAGUGGCCCCUCUGGAGCUGAGAGUAUAUAUUUCAAUGAUCCUAUCUAACAUUCCUCAUGAUCGCUUUAGCAUUUUAGUCCCUCCCCUUCUUGCUCCCAAUUCCUCCAAAUAACUGCCUAAUCCUAAGCAUAGAAUCUAUAAGAGGUCUCCCUUAUAUAAAAGGGUGAGUUUACGGUAGGCUUACUUAGUCCUUUCAGGUUUUCAGCCAAUGAUGCUAUCCAAACUCAGAAUUGAAAGUAUAUUGAAAGUGAGUCUGUCUUUGGGGUCUUGGUGCUCAAUAAGUGUUUAACUGACUAGCAACUGGUCAAGUGUUAUCCCUUCCUUUUUUGCUGCCUUAGACUUCAGCCCCACCAUACUGUCCACUCUGUCAUUCUCAGAGAUGUCAACUUCCUUGCCAAGGGCUGCUGGUGUCUGUCUCUACAUAGACUAAAUGCAGAGCCUAUCUCUGACGCAUAGUUUAUCUCCUACUCCUUGACUCUUCUUACCCUCACUAUUUUUACUUAAAGCAAAUGCCUUACUGUAUACAGAGUCAUGUGGAACCUGAAAGAACGUAAGUAUAUACCAUUGGAUUUAAAUGUCUUUAAAAAUAAUAAAUUGUGGUUUUCCGCUCUAGGGUACAACUAGUUUCCGAGUGCAUUGUCUAUACCCAACUGCGGAGGCAAGGCUACAUUUAAUUGUCUUUUGCCCCGUUCCCGUAUAGAUCUAGGCUGGCAAGAUGGCUGUCUGCCUGAGUAUCCAGUUCAGGGCAUGUCACCUCUGAGGCUCUGAGUUCAGUCCCACAUUUCUCAUGAUUGAAGGAGUGAACUUGCUACUUCAAGCUAUUGCAAGUCUCUCCCUCUCUCUCUCUCUCUCCCUCCCCCCCCCUCUCUCACACACACACACAAACUGAAUGUAAAAACAAAACACAAGGCUAAAUAAAUUGCUUUGCCUUUUUCAAUGAGAUUUUCUGACAUAGGAGGAAGGCAAACGUCUCUUCUGGGGGUCGGGUAGACUGGUAAAGAAGGUGGAGAGGAGGCAUUUUAGAAACGAGGGCAUUUAGAAUUCUCUUGGCAUAUCUUAAAACAAAGCCAGAGGAUCGUUUCCUUGCCAAAGCAGCCUGCCCCUGUGAAGGCAAACAGGAAAUGGUGUCUAAAUUCCAGACAAAGAAACCUUUGGACUUGAGGAGGAGGUAAGCAAUUCCUCGUGCUCUUAAAAGCUGAGCCUAUGAGCCGCAAAGGUCUACGCUAAUCUUGCUGCUUCAUCUGUGUCCGGAGGAGUUGCAAGUACAAGAUUUUUAGCUCUAAUCACACCAACAGAGAGGAGAAAAAUAUACAUAACAAAUAUGUAAAGGACAGAGUGGUGCACAUCCACAAGAGAGCAGAGCAAAGGUAGUCAGGCCGUUUCCUGAUCCAGGGCUCCUGCUGCUGAAGUUAAGACCUAGCUGAAGCAAAUCGCUUUGUCAAUUAACAUUCAAUCAUCAUACACUUUUAAAUGUACCGUCAACAACAACAAAACCACCCAGCUGUCACCUCAAAGGGGACAAGAAAGAGUUUAGAGCCAGAUAUGAGUGCCCAUGGCCCAGGAUCACAAAUUGAGCUCACCUCAAAUUCCAUGUUCUAAUGAGAUAGCAAUUUUAUGAACUUCUCAUAGAAACAG
rnacentral:lncRNA from 1 species